rnacentral:rRNA from 2 species
ACUGAGAACUUCUAUAAAAUUAUAGAACCUUUUAUGCUAAAACUAGUAACAAGAGGUAACCCCUCUCUACAAUGUAGGUAUACGCCAGCAAGAACCCACCACUGGCAACUAACAGAUCUAAAUAAAAGUAGCAACCUCCCCCAAGAAAACCCUACUCCACUCAACUGUUAACCUAAUACCAGAACAUUUCAAGAAAGAUUAAAAGAAAGAGAAGGAAUUCGGCAAACAUUAGCCCCGCCUGUUUACCAAAAACACCGCCUCUUGUCCCUAUAAGAGGUCUAGCCUGCCCAGUGACUUCUGUUCAACGGCCGCGGUAUCCUAACCGUGCAAAGGUAGCGUAAUCACUUGUCUUCUAAAUAGAGACCAGUAUGAAAGGCAUCACGAGGACUAAACUGUCUCCUCUCCCUAAUCAGUGAACCUAAUAACCCCGUGAAGAAGCGGGGAUUUUUAUAUAAGACGAGAAGACCCUAUGGAGCUUAAAACAUCAUAACACCUGCCACCACACCAUAUCUACCCAGGUUUUUCCCGCCCCGUGGCACUCUGAUUAUAUGUUUUUGGUUGGGGUGACCGCGGAGAAAAACCCAUCCUCCACAAUGAAGGGAACUUCCCUAAACAGUAAGCCACAACUUUAUGUAUCAGCAAACUGACAUCCAUUGACCCAAUAUAUUUGACUAACGAACCAAGUUACCCUAGGGAUAACAGCGCAAUCCACUUUGAGAGCCCCUAUCGACAAGUGGGCUUACGACCUCGAUGUUGGAUCGGGGUAUCCUAGUGGUGCAGCCGCUACU